CACGGAGUUAGCCGAUGCUUUUUCUCCGGGUACCCUCAGGACGGCACGCGUGCCGCCGUUUGUCCCCCGGCAAAAGAGGUUUACAACCCGUAGGGCCGUCCUCCCUCACGCGACUUGGCUGGUUCAGGCUCUCGCCCAUUGACCAAUAUUCCUCACUGCUGCCUCCCGUAGGAGUCUGGUCCGUGUCUCAGUACCAGUGUGGGGGACCUUCCUCUCAGAACCCCUAGGCAUCGUCGCCUUGGUGGGCCGUUACCCCGCCAACAAGCUAAUGCCACGCAUGCCCAUCCGGACCCGAUGGUUCUUUAGCCGCCAAGGGAUGCCCCUCGGCGGCGCCGUGCGGUAUUAGGCCGGGUUUCCCCGGGUUAUCCCGCUGGUCCGGGCAGGUUGCAUACGCGUUACUCACCCGUGCGCCGGUCGCCGGCAGGCGGAAGCAAGCUUCCUCCCCCGCUGCCCCUGACUUGCAUGUGUUAGGCCUGUCGCUAGCGUUCAUCCUGAGCCAGGAUCAAAACUCU
rnacentral:rRNA from 1 species